rnacentral:rRNA from 1 species
UUUUAUGGAGAGUUUGAUCCUGGCUCAGGAUGAACGCUGGCGGCGUGCCUAAUACAUGCAAGUCGAGCGAACGGAUGAGAAGCUUGCUUCUCUGAUGUUAGCGGCGGACGGGUGAGUAACACGUGGAUAACCUACCUAUAAGACUGGGAUAACUUCGGGAAACCGGAGCUAAUACCGGAUAAUAUUUUGAACCGCAUGGUUCAAAAGUGAAAGACGGUCUUGCUGUCACUUAUAGAU